GUAACGAAUUGCUGUAAAAACUACAGCGUUAUUUUACAGAAGCUGACUGUAUUUUAAAUAAUACAGAAUAUUGCUGUAAAGUGCAAUGCAUUCUGGAGUCACGUGACGGAUUAACUCAAUGUACAGAAUAUUGCUGUAAAUUUCAAAUCUACAAUGGCGGGAUGAUCUUCAACAGUCGAGAUUGGGGUAGUGCUAAAAAUGAAUGAUUCACACCUGUGGUAAGUAAUUUAUUACGUAUUUUUUUUCCAUAUUUGGUAACUAUCAUAGUGGUAACGUUAUAUAGAGGUAUCUAAAUUCGCGUUUCAUAUUGGUAACCCCGGAUUCAACCUCCAUCCGCGGGGACCGAAGGAGUCUUGCGGGGUUUCAGCAGCGCCGUCGCGGACACACUUUGCUAUGCAGGCCACUGGAUGCUGACUACUGAAGGUUAGGUUGUGUGUGACGGUGCUCAGCACAGCUUCAUGUCUGGCCUUCCCACUCUGUUCAUAGCAUGUUACAUAUUCAGGCUUGAGUACCAGGAUGGGGCAGCAUGUACUUGGAGUCCAAUGAAAGAUAUUAAUCCAGAGAGUGGAACAAGAAGCGUCAUCUAAAAUGCCAGGAUACAGAAGAAACAGGUUGCAGUGAACCCACAUGUCGCCGCUCUUCUAAACACAAUGAUGAAUAUUCAGUGUAAUCGAUGAAAAUUCCAGCUACUUGUUGUGCUCUGAUGGAUCAAGAUGUGGACCGUUUUACAGACUCACUUGGGCCUUGUUUUGCAAUGUUGUUUCAUGAUGGUAAUGUUGGUUAACGUGUUGUUUAAACAUGAAUGUUUAAAGAGCCAUGUUGGAUACUAUGAAGUUGUUACUGAAUAAAAUUAUUUCAUGUACAACAACGUACACAA